UAGUAGAGUUUGAUCAUGGCCUCAGGAAUCAACGCUGGCGGCGUGCCUAACACAUGCAAGUCGAACCGAGAAAGGUGGAGCAAUCCAUGAGUAAAGUGGCGGCCGGGUGAGUAACACGGUGACCAAUCUACCCCUUGAGUGGGGGAUACCCCUCGGGAAACCGGGGCUAAUACCGCAUAACAUCCUCGGAACGGAAGUACUGGGGUCAAAGGAGCAAUUCGCUUAAGGAGGAGGUCGCGGCUGAUUAGCUAGUUGGCGGGGUAAUGGCCCACCAAGGCAAAGAUCGGUAGCCGGCCUGAGAGGGCGCACGGCCACACUGGAACUGAAACACGGUCCAGACUCCUACGGGAGGCAGCAGUGGGGAAUUUUGCGCAAUGGGGGAAACCCUGACGCAGCAACGCCGCGUGGAGGAUGAAGUCCCUUGGGACGUAAACUCCUUUCGACCCGGACGAUAAUGACGGUACGGGUGGAAGAAGCCCCGGCUAACUUCGUGCCAGCAGCCGCGG
rnacentral:rRNA from 1 species